GAUGAAGAACGUAGCGAAAUGCGAUACGUAAUGUGAAUUGCAGAAUUCAGUGAAUCAUCGAAUCUUUGAACGCACAUUGCGCCCGCCAGCACUCUGGCGGGCAUGCCUGUUCGAGCGUCAUUUCAACCAUCAAGCCCCAGGCUUGCGUUGGAGCCCUGCGGCUGCCGCAGCCUCCUAAAAGCAGUGGCGGGCUCGCUAUCACACCGAGUGGAGUAGAUUACUCUUCGCUCAGGGCGUGCAGCGGGUUCCGGCCGUGAAACCCCCUACUUUUAAAGGUUGACCUCGGAUCAGGUAGGAAUACCCGCUGAACUUAAGCAUAUCAAUAAGCGGAGGA
rnacentral:misc_RNA from 1 species